AUUGAACGCUGGCGGCAUGCCUUACACAUGCAAGUCGAACGGUAACAGGUCUUCGGAUGCUGACGAGUGGCGAACGGGUGAGUAAUACAUCGGAACGUGCCCGAUCGUGGGGGAUAACGAGGCGAAAGCUUUGCUAAUACCGCAUACGAUCUGCGGACGAACGCGGGGGAUCGUCGGACCUCGCGCGGACGGAGCGGCCGAUGGCAGCUUAGGUAGUUGGUGGGAUAAAAGCGUACCCAGACGACGAUCUGUAGCUGGUCUGAGAGGAUGAUCAGCCACACUGGGACUGAGACACGGCCCAGACUCCUACGGGAGGCAGCAGUGGGGAAUUUUGGACGAUGGGCGAAAGCCUGAUCCAGCCAUGCCGCGUGCAGGAUGAAGGCCUUUGGGUUGUAAACUGCUUUUGUACGGAACGAAAAGCCUCUUUCUAAUAAAGAGGGGUCAUGACGGUACCGUAAGAAUAAGCACCGGCUAACUACGUG
rnacentral:rRNA from 1 species